rnacentral:rRNA from 1 species
AGACAACCAGGAUGUUGGCUUAGAAGCAGCCAUGCAUUUAAAGAGUGCGUAACAGCUCACUGGUCAAGUGGACAUGCGCCGACAAUUCACGGGGCUCAAGCAUGAUACCGAAGCAGCGGACUGAUAUUUUUCAGUGGUAGGGGAGCUUUCUUAUCUGGGUCGAAGCUGUGUGGCAACGCAUGGUGGACUGGUAAGAAGUGAGAAUGCUGGCAUGAGUAACGAGAGUGAGGCGAGAAACCUCACCGCCGUAAGCCUAAGGGUUCCUGGGCAAGGCUAAUCCUCCCAGGGUCAGUCGGGAGCUAAGACGAGGCCGACAGGCGUAGUCGAUGCACAACAGGUUGAUAUUCCUGUACCACCACGAAUCGUUAUGACGAUGGGGUGACGGAGAAGGAUAGCUGGGCGGGGUUCUGGACGUCCCCGUGAAAGCGUGUAGGGUGCGCAUGCAGGUAAAUCCGCAAGCGCUUAUGCCUGAGACGUGAGACGAAGCUCUAAGUGAAGUCAGUGAUUCCCUGCUUCCAAGAAAAACCUCUAAGCAGAUAUCGUGGUGCCCGUACCAAAACCGACACAGGUAGGCGGGUAGAGUAUACCAAGGCGAUCGGGAGAACUAUGGUUAAGGAACUCGGCAUAAUGACUCCGUAACUUCGGGAGAAGGAGUGCCGCUCAUGGGUGAUAGGGCAUGCCCCUAAAAGCCUAGGGCGGUCGCAGUGAAACGGCCCAAGCGACUGUUUAUCAAAAACACAGGACUCUGCUAAGUCGCAAGACGAUGUAUAGGGUCUGACGCCUGCCCGGUGCUGGAAGGUUACGUGGAUGGGUUAGCCUUUCUAGGCGAAGCUCUGAAACUAAGCCCCAGUAAACGGCGGCCGUAACUAUAACGGUCCUAAGGUAGCGAAAUUCCUUGUCGGGUAAGUUCCGACCUGCACGAAUGGCGUAACGAUUUGGGCGCUGUCUCAACCAUAGACCCGGUGAAAUUGUAUUAUUCGUGAAGAUGCGAAUUACCCACGGAAGGACGGAAAGACCCCGUGAACCUUCACUACAGCUUGACAUUGAUCAUUGGUUCUGUGUGUAGAGGAUAGGUGGGAGACCGUGAAGCACGAGCGCCAGCUUG